CCUACGGGAGACAGCAGUGAGGAAUAUUGGUCAAUGGACGAGAGUCUGAACCAGCCAAGUAGCGUGAAGGAUGACUGCCCUAUGGGUUGUAAACUUCUUUUAUAUGGGAAUAAAAUGUUCCACGUGUGGGAUUUUGUAUGUACCAUAUGAAUAAGGAUCGGCUAACUCCGUGCCAGCAGCCGCGGUAAUACGGAGGAUCCGAGCGUUAUCCGGAUUUAUUGGGUUUAAAGGGGGCGUAGGUGGAUUGUUAAGUCAGUUGUGAAAGUUUGCGGCUCAACCGUAAAAUUGCAGUUGAAACUGGCAGUCUUGAGUACAGUAGAGGUGGGCGGAAGUCGUGGUGUAGCGGUGAAAUGCUUAGAUAUCACGAAGAACUCCGAUUGCGAAGGCAGUUCACUGGACUGCAACUGACACUGAGGCUCGAAAGUGUGGGUAUCAAACAGGAUUAGAUACCCGGGUAGUC
rnacentral:rRNA from 1 species